rnacentral:SRP_RNA from 1 species
GCUGGGUGCGGUGGCACGCGCCUGUAAUCCAAGCUACCGGGAGGCUGAGGCUGGAGGAUCGUUUGAGCUCAGGAGCUCUGAGCUGCAGCGGACUAUGUCGAUCGGGUGUCCGCACUAAGUUCGGUAUCGAUAUGGUGCUCCUGGGGGAGCCCGGGACCACCAGGUCGUCUAAGGAGGGGUGCACCGGCCCAGGUCGGAAACGGAGCAGGUCAAAGCCCCCGUGCCGCUCAGUAGUGGGAUCGCGCCUGUGAAUAGACGCUGUAGUGCAGCCUGAGUAAUACAGCGGGACUCAGUCUUU